CGGAGCGCGGCACGGCGCCGCUCCAUGCCCCGAGCGCUGGCGGGGCGCGGGGCGUGUGCCGGCGAUGCCCGGGCGGUAAGGCUGGAGCUCCCCCCGGACGGGAGGCGGCCGAUCGCUAGGCAUUUCUAGCAAGAAUCGGGACUGCAGGAUGAAUAAGAGAUACUUACAGAAAGCAACAAAAGGAAAACUGCUAAUAAUAAUAUUUGUUGUAACACUGUGGGGGAAAUUAGCAUCUGGGGCAAAUCAUCAUAAAGCUCACCAUGUUAAAACUGGGACCUGUGAAGUGGUGGCGCUUCACAGAUGCUGCAAUAAGAAUAAGAUAGAAGAAAGAUCACAGACAGUGAAGUGUUCCUGCUUCCCUGGGCAGGUAGCAGGUACCACCCGGGCAGCUCCUUCUUGUGUUGAUGCUUCAAUAGUGGAGCAGAAAUGGUGGUGCCACAUGCAACCAUGUCUUGAAGGGGAGGAAUGUAAAGUUCUUCCAGAUCGUAAGGGAUGGAGCUGUUCCUCUGGGAAUAAAGUGAAAACAACUAGGGCAAACGUGUAAAACUCCUCAAGUCCGAAUGGAGAAGUAGAGAAAGGAGGUUUCUGCUGUGCCUGAUGACAAUUUUUGUUUUUUCCACACACAAAAAAUAUUCUGGCUCCACGAUGGAGCACUAGUUGUGAUGAAUCCUAGUCUUGGUCGGAUUCUAAGGAAGGGCCAGAACGUUCGUUGAGGAAUAAAGAGUCAAACCACUCCAGAAAAUGUGUUCCAGCCCCGGUUUAUUACUCACAGAGCAGCAGGUAACCCGAUAGCUAAAGACAACUCAAGCCAGUCUCAAGGCUGAUAACAUUAAAUACAACACAUAGGAAUUUCAUUCAUCGAGGCAAUCCUUGAAGUGAAAUUUUAUACUGCUGGGGUGUAUCCUUCAGAAUCAAUUGUUUCAAUGAGAACCUGGCUUGCAAUCAGCAACAGCCUUGAGAUCAAAACUACUGGAAAGUUAUUUUGAACUUCUGUGUCACAAAUAUUUCAACUGAUUGAACUGUGUACACUUGUAGAAUUACACUUGCUGAGGAAUUUGCAGCUGUAAUCAUGAACUAAUAUUCUGAAGGUGCAGAAAAGCAGCAAACUUUUGGGUUCUCCAUUGCAGAACAGUGGCUUUUCAUCUUGAAGACAAACUCUGAAAUGUAUUGAAUCCUUCACUCUGAAAUGAUCCUUGGUCCACUGUUCAGAUUGCUGGUGGGACUGCACACUGCUUUAAU